AUAUGACACUCCUGUUAAUACAUCCCAGAAUGAUACUAGCUUUUUUCACAACUACAUCACAUUGUUAGCUCAUAUUCAAUUUGUGAUCCACGAUAAUACUCGGAUCCCUUUCAGCAGUACAACCGCCUAGCCACUUACUCCCUAUUUUGUAGUUGUGCAUUUGAUUUUUCCUCCCUAAGUGGAGUACUUUGCACUUGCCUUUGUUGAAUUUCAUCUUGUUGAUUUCAGAUCAAAACACUGAUUUUACAAGGUC